AUUGGAUCCAUGAUGCUACUUUUCAAAACUGGCAUCAUCUAUCCGAACUUCCUGUUCAAGGGAUUGAAGAUGAUGUUCCAUUCUGAGAUCCAGA
rfam:Gossypium hirsutum cultivar TM-1 chromosome 14, whole genome shotgun sequence